CCCUGCUUUACCUGACCCCGGCGACCUUGAUCGGGAAAACUUCUACUGAGAUUCUUUUCCCCAGACGUGGACUUAGCAGAUGAGGGCGUUGGCCCAUGACCAUGCUGCUACCCAGCCUUCGUCCUGAGAUUCGUCCCCGUCUGUGGAUGUGAGGACUCAGACUCCUCUCGUCUGUGCUCUGCCAGGGACCUUUGUCACUGUAGCGGGAGAACGGUGAGAAAGCGUCCCGCUUUGCAUGGGGGCUCCCACUGCACAUCUGGCACCCACCUCACAGGUGAACCUUCCCGCUCCUAAAUGAUGACUGG